GUGCCAGCCGCCGCGGUAAUACAGAGGGUGCAAGCGUUGUCCGGAAUGAUUGGGCGUAAAGCAUUUGUAGGUGGUUUCUAAAGUCAACUGUUAAAUCCCAGAGCUCAACUUUGGACAAGCAGUUGAGUACUUAGGGACUUGAGUAUGGUAGGGGUAGAGGGAAUUCCUAGUGGAGCGGUGAAAUGCACAGAGAUUAGGAAGAACACCAGUGGCGAAAGCGCUCUACUGGGCCAUUACUGACGCUGAGAGAUGAAAGUCGGGGGAGCGAAAAGGAUUAGAUACCCUUGUAGUCCCGACCGUAAACGAUGGAUACUAAGUGCUGUCAAAAACAGUGCUGUAGCUAACGCGUUAAGUAUCCCGCCUGGGGAGUAUGCUCGCAAGAGUGAAACUCAAAGGAAUUGACGGGG
rnacentral:rRNA from 1 species